UUAAUUACUGAACUUGAACAAGUUUAUAUUUUGAAAAUAUACUAUAGAAGUUCACACCCUUCUAGUAAUUU
rnacentral:tRNA from 1 species